GACGAACGCUGGCGGCGUGCCUAAUACAUGCAAGUAGAACGCUGAAGGAGGAGCUUGCUCUUCUGGAUGAGUUGCGAACGGGUGAGUAACGCGUAGGUAACCUGCCUGGUAGCGGGGGAUAACUAUUGGAAACGAUAGCUAAUACCGCAUAAGAGUAGAUGUUGCAUGACAUUUACUUAAAAGGUGCAAUUGCAUCACUACCAGAUGGACCUGCGUUGUAUUAGCUAGUUGGUGGGGUAACGGCUUACCAAGGCGACGAUACAUAGCCGACCUGAGAGGGUGAUCGGCCACACUGGGACUGAGACACGGCCCAGACUCCUACGGGAGGCAGCAGUAGGGAAUCUUCGGCAAUGGACGGAAGUCUGACCGACCAACGCCGCGUGAGUGAAGAAGGUUUUCGGAUCGUAAAGCUCUGUUGUAAGAGAAGAACGAGUGUGAGAGUGGAAAGUUCACACUGUGACGGUAUCUUACCAGAAAGGGACGGCUAACUACGUG
rnacentral:rRNA from 1 species